rnacentral:rRNA from 1 species
AGCGAACGCUGGCGGCAGGCUUAACACAUGCAAGUCGAACGGGCGUAGCAAUACGUCAGUGGCAGACGGGUGAGUAACGCGUGGGAACGUACCUUUUGGUUCGGAACAACCCAGGGAAACUUGGGCUAAUACCGGAUAAGCCCUUACGGGGGAAAGAUUUAUCGCCGAAAGAUCGGCCCGCGUCUGAUUAGCUAGUUGGUGAGGUAACGGCUCACCAAGGCGACGAUCAGUAGCUGGUCUGAGAGGAUGAUCAGCCACAUUGGGACUGAGACACGGCCAAACUCCUACGGGAGGCAGCAGUGGGAAUAUUGGACAAUGGGCGCAAGCCUGAUCCAGCCAUGCCGCGUGAGUGAUG